rnacentral:rRNA from 1 species
GUACACACCGCCCGUCGCUUCUACCGAUUGAGUUGUCCGGUGAAGUCCUUGGACAGGUCAAUGAAUUUUUUCAUUGUUUUGAAAGUUGACUGAACCAUACAACUUAGAGGAAGAGGAAGUCGUAACAAGGUUUUUGUAGGUGAACCUGCAGAAGGAUCA